CUUUCACUCGCACGCGCGACCCUCAGUUUGGCUCCGACCGCUGUGUGGGGAGGCCGCGUCGCGCGUUCUCGUAAAUCUCGUACAAACUUUCGUGAAAAACGUUCUAAAUACUUUUUACUGUGUUUUUUUGCAAGUGUACCAUUGUUUUUUAGUGUGAAUACUGUUACUGUGAGUGUUAAUAAAAAGCCAGUGGUAUCGGAUUUGUUGUUGUGCAUUUGGAAUGCUGCAAAGAUCUCAGGUAGUGUUCAGCCAGAAGUGAGCGGAUUUUUUACGAUCUAUGUGAAGUGAAAACGAGUGAAGUGGUCAAUUCUGUGGUGGAAAAUGUGCUAGUGAAAGAUGUCGCCACGGUGGCGCUGCGGGCGGGUCACGUGACAUUUAAAAUACAAAAUGGCGGACACUAGUCCCGCCACCUCGAUAAUAGAGGGCACUGUCAAGUUCAGAGAUGGGAAAAAGUGGAAAUCAAGAUGGUGUGUUAUGCGCAAGCUGUCUCCUGUAGCAGGUAAG